CCUACGGGUGGCAGCAGUGGGGAAUAUUGCACAAUGGGGGAAACCCUGAUGCAGCGACGCCGCGUGAGUGAAGAAGUAAUUCGUUAUGUAAAGCUCUAUCAGCAGGGAAGAAAAUGACGGUACCUGAGUAAGAAGCCCCGGCUAACUACGUGCCAGCAGCCGCGGUAAUACGUAGGGAGCAAGCGUUGUCCGGAAUUACUGGGUGUAAAGGGAGCGUAGGCGGGGAUGCAAGUUGGGUGUCAAAACUAUCGGCUCAACCGAUAGUCGCACUCAAAACUGCAGCUCUUGAGUGAAGUAGAGGCAGGCGGAAUUCCUAGGGUAGCGGUGAAAUGCGUAGAUAUACGGAGGAACACCAGUGGCGAAGGCGGAUUGCUGGACAGUAACUGACGCUGAGGCGCGAAAGCGUGGGGAGCAAACAGGAUUAGAUACCCUUGUAGUC
rnacentral:rRNA from 1 species